GACGAACGCUGGCGGCGUGCCUAAUACAUGCAAGUGGGACGCAAGGGAACACACUGUGCUUGCACACCGUGUUUUCUUGAGUCGCGAACGGGUGAGUAACGCGUAGGUAACCUGCCUAUUAGCGGGGGAUAACUAUUGGAAACGAUAGCUAAUACCGCAUAAUAUUAAUUAUUGCAUGAUAAUUGAUUGAAAGAUGCAAGCGCAUCACUAGUAGAUGGACCUGCGUUGUAUUAGCUAGUUGGUAAGGUAAGAGCUUACCAAGGCGACGAUACAUAGCCGACCUGAGAGGGUGAUCGGCCACACUGGGACUGAGACACGGCCCAGACUCCUACGGGAGGCAGCAGUAGGGAAUCUUCGGCAAUGGACGAAAGUCUGACCGAGCAACGCCGCGUGAGUGAAGAAGGUUUUCGGAUCGUAAAGCUCUGUUGUAAGUCAAGAACGUGUGUGAGAGUGGAAAGUCACACAGUGGCGGUAGCUACCAGAA
rnacentral:rRNA from 1 species